AGACCUAUAUGGUCCACACAUGGAGAUGCUGCCUCAAAAAUCACCAUCUUUAGAAGCACAACCUGGGAUGUGAAUUUUGUACUUAUCUUCCCAUCAAGAAUCAUUUUUCCUGAAUCAAGAGCCACCAGAAAUAUGUCAUUUGUGUGCACGUAGGCAACCAUUCUCCCUUCAUAAUUUUGGAAGGUCUUCUGGACAGGUUAAAACUGACUUGCACCAUU
ensembl:lincRNA Gm26936 predicted gene, 26936